rnacentral:lncRNA from 1 species
AGAACGUUAGCAUAAAAACACCUGGGAUGUGGGAACACAGAAAAGCAUUAAGAGCUAUAAAAACUCUUAGAGAUCUUCAAAUCCAACUUUCCCUUCUGGAAAGAUCUAGACAUUGAGGACAGAGCAGGAAGGUGGCUCCCUUACCCAAGAUCGUUCCAAAUGGUUAGUAAUAAGAAAAGAUCUAGACUCCAGGCCGGCCAUAGAGCCUCUGAGGCCAUCUUAUUAGACUUGUGAGCCCAUUUCAGAAAGCCAGACCUCUCUGAAAAGAUGAGGAACCUGGUAUAAUUAACCAUGGCUUCCUCAAGCUUUCGUAAUCAGUCCUCCAAGCUAAUGAAACAUCUCUGCUCUGAAAAUACCCAAAGGUCUCCUGAGAUUGACCUACAGUCAUAGGACAGAAAAAGUCAGAGCUGGAAGAGCAGCUCAUGUGCUCACCUUGGACAAGCAAGAUACAACUUGGAUUUUCUUGGACCUUUCACCUGUAGUAUUGACUUGGGAAUGGUCAUCUUUUCUAAGAAAUCACUGUAGAUAUCAACUCCUUCUGGACUACCAACAUCCAAAUCCAGGAGCCCCUGACCUCUCAAGACUAAUGAAUUUGGUAAUAAGGGUAAAAAAAUCCCUGCCAAAAUUGCUGUUCAGUCACCUAUGCUCAAGGAAAGAAACUCAAAGCAGGAGGAGCAUCAAGGAACUUGAGAUCCAGGCUCAGGUUUUCCUAGGUCUUUUUCUUUGUUAGAGAAAACAGAAGCAAAAUAACAACUGAGUAUGGCUGUCUUCACUCUGUUAUUCAUUAUCAAUAUCCCACAUACCUCCAAGCGGUGGUCCUCUGCUUUUUUGGAUCCUACUUAUCAUCCAAUAGGGCUGUGAUGGCAAACCUAUGGCACACAUGUCAAAGAAGGCACACAGAACCCUCUCUACAGGAAGGAAGAGGAUAAGGAGUAGAAGAGUGAUAAUGAGAAUACAAAAGGAAGAAGCGCAUGUAGACAUGUGGAUGAGCAAGGCCAACACUUGGUACACUAAAGUGCCCUCUUGCUGCCCUGCACCUACAAUGCAAAAGAACAAAGGAAAAGUCAAGUAUCCUCACUUGCUUCUCAUGGUCCAGAAUCCAUUACAUUUCUAUUCAGAGGUUCUGUAAAUGUAUAACAAUGUCUUUCCUGCAUCCAUCUGCCUUUAUUAUCCUCGGAGAACCUUCAACUAGUGAUGCCACACAUAUAUAAGGCAAACUAUAUCUGAAUAUUUAGGAUACUCACAUGAUAUUAACAAUAUAAGUAAAUAAAAUAUUUUAAGCUUGACA